ACAACUCCUUUGCCUACACCUUUCCUCCAUCGUAGUAUUACAAAGAUAAUUCAGAAAGGCUUAAAAAUAUGCCUACUGUUAAUCUUUUCCAUUUCAUAAUUGUGUGCAAUCAAUAAACUAAAAGGUGUGUAGUUUAAUUCAGGAGAAAGGAUAACAUUGAGCUCCAAUCUUUAAUACUUCGUAAUUCACAUAAAACAGGACAACUCAGAGUUGACUUUUCAAAAACAACUUAAUGGUAGCUACCAUUAAUUAAUUUGAAUACAGCUGAAAUGGUGCUUUUGAUUCACUGUAAAAUGAACAACUGCUAAUGAUCAGAAUGAUACUCUCUUUCUAGAGAAAGAUAAUUGAAUAAUGAAGAGAAAGAGCAUUAUUUUUUACUUUCUUCAUUUAUUUAUAACAUUAUUUCUCAUUUAAAAAUUUUUGCCCAGGUAUGGUAACUUAUGCUUGUAAUCUCAGUACUUUAGGAGGCCGAAGUGGGAAGAUCGCUUGAACCCAGGAGUUCAAGAGCAGUCUGGGCAACAUAGGGUGACUUCAUCUCUACCAAAAAAAUAAAUAAAUAAAUUAGCCGGGCAUGGUGGCAUGUACCUGUAGUCCCAGCUACUUGAAAGGCUGAAGUGGAAACGAUCGCUUGAGCCUGGGAGGUUGAGGCUGCAGUGAGCCAUAACUGUGCCACUGCACUCCAGCCUGGCCCACACAGCAAGACUCUGCCUCAAAAAAUAAAUAAAGAAAGAAAUAACAAUUUUCAUUUUCCUAGCAAUUCUACUUCUAACAGUAAAUCCUAAGGAAACAAUCAGAGAUAUGUAAAAAACAUCUCUAUGUACAGGUGGUCAAUGAGUAAUUUUUAAUACUAAAAAAUAAGAAGUAUCUUGAGGAUUCAACAAGAUGGUGGUUAAGAACCGGUCAAAUAAUUUUACUCACAUAAUAGAAAAUUAUGCAGCUAUAAAACUAUAGACCAGUGUUGUCUAACAGAAAUAGAAUAUGACUGACAUUUGUAACUUUAAAUUUUCUAGUAAGCACAUUAGAAAAAGUAAAAAGUAACGAGUGAAAUUAAUUUCGUUAAUAUAUUUUAUUUAGCUCAACUUAUUUGAAAUAUUUCAACAUGUAAUCAAUAUAAAAAUUAGUAAUGAGAUAUUUUACUUUUUAAAAAUGUGUUUCUUGUUCCGGCCGGGCGCGGUGGCUCACGCCUGUAAUCCCAGCACUUUGGGAGGCUGAGGCGGGCGGAUCACGAGGUCAGGAGAUCGAGACCAUCCUGGCUAACACGGUGAAACCCCGUCUCUACUAAAAAUACAAAAAAUUAGCCGCACGCUGUGGCGGGCGCCUGUAGUCCCAGCUACUCGGGAGGCUGAGGCAGGAGAAUGGUGUGAACCCGGGAGGCGGAGCUUGCAGUGAGCCGAGAUCGUGUCACUGCACUCCAGCCUGGGCGAGAGUGAGACUCCGUCUCAAAAAAAAAAAAAAAAAUUGUGUUUGGAAUCUGGUGUGUUUUUUGCACUUACAGCACAUCUCAAUUCAGACUAGCCACAAUUCUAGUGCUCAACAGCCCAUGUUGCUAGUGGUUACAGUAUUAAAUAGUGUAGCUAUAGAUAAGGCUUAGAUCUAGAAAAUCAUUAAUGAGAUAUUAAAAUUUAAAAAUAGAUCAUGACAUAAGUACAGUAUAUUUCUAAUUGUAUGCUUUAAAAAUCCAUGAAUAAGAGAAAAAAACCUAGAAGGGUAUAUACCAAAAUGUUUACCAUGUUAUUCUGGGGAUAGAUUUUUUUUUCUUCUUUUUUUUUUUUCUGUAUUUUUUACCCGUUUGACAAUAAAUCUAUAUUAUUGUGAAGUUAAUGAAUCGUUAUGUUAUUUAAUAUUUUCCAAUCAGCACUGAUUAGAUUUAUGAUGACUUAAACAUUCAACUCCAAGAACCUUAUCCCUGAAAAAUUACUGUACUUGUCUUUGUUCUGCGUUUCAUACCAGUGAGUACUAAUUUCAUUGUCCAUAGAGAAUAAUUCACUGCUGUGAACAAGACUUACAUUUUGAGCACAAGCCCUAACAUUUGCUCCUUAAAAGUGGUGUGUGUAAAUAUAGUAUAAGAACUGUGGGAAAAUUAUUUCAUUGCCUGUUAAAUAACCAUUUGUUAAGUCUAGACAACAGUCAUAAAUGGUCAUUAUUUAUAAAGUUGCCAAAGUGCUUGGGGGAAUUGUAUAAUAAAUAGGCAACGUGACCAACACCUCCUUGUACUGCCAUACCCCACAAAAAAUAAAGAGAGAGAGAGAGAAAAUACAUAAAUUGGCAAAGAUGCUAAAUAUAGACUAAAUUUACUCUGAAAAGUAAAACAAAACAGAAAGGAAUGUCACACGCAUGGCACUCACUUCACACAGCAGAGGCCUUGUUCUUCUGACACUCUUCAUCUUGUGCCCUCACAACUCCCCUCCCACACAAAAACGCCCCUAACGACAAAACUAGCCCAAUUUCCUUUUCAACAUUUUCUCUCAAUAUUCCCCCAUCACUAGCUCUGCACUGUCUAGCUAUUCUGACAUUCCUCAUUGUAUCCUCAAAAAGGUUCCUAUUACUGUCAAGUAGGCCCAGGAAAUAUUUGACCUAGAUUUAUUUUAUUGAGAAAUAAUGAUCAAAACUCCUACUUAUUGUAUAAAGUAGGGCUUACGGUCAGUAAUAGAAGCACUCAAAAACAUGUAGAUAAUUACAGAUGGUGGUCAGGGCAAUAAAGGAAAAGAUGAAGAAAGAAAGAAAGAAAAGAGCAGAUCCGGAUGCAGAAGGGGUCAGGAAAGUCCUCUCCAUUGACAAUGGACAAUCUCCACUGAAGAUGAGCCCUUAGAGAUGAGAGCCCGCCAGGAAGAAUGGGAAUAAGCAUCUUCCUGCAGAGGUGCGGGUACUGGUCCAGGGUGGAUGGGGACUCGGGUGAAUUCCAAAAGGGCAGGCCAGUGUUGGCUGGACUAUGAUAAGGGAGUGGGAGGAUGCCAGAGCUAUUUCAGCCUUGGGCAUCCAGCACAGGGGCCAGCAACAGUGUGUGAGCUGUGGCUAUUAUUAUUAUCAUUAACAACAGAAGCAAUAGGUAAAAUGCAUUAAGCACUUUUGAUGAGCUAGACACAUGCUAAGAACUUUACACAUAAGAAUGGGUUAAUUCUCUACAGUAGCCCUUUGAGAUAGAUAUUAAGCAAGAGGUUAAUAAUUUGUCUAAGGCAGCAUGCCUUGAAAAGGGCAGAGCAGGGAUCUGCUGACUCUGGAGUCAGGACUCUUCCUCUCUUUGGCAGAGUCUCUACUUCCAAG
rnacentral:lncRNA from 10 species